UACGUAGGGUGCGAGCGUUAAUCGGAAUUACUGGGCGUAAAGCGUGCGCAGGCGGUUUGUUAAGACCGAUGUGAAAUCCCCGGGCUCAACCUGGGAACUGCAUUGGUGACUGGCAAGCUAGAGUAUGGCAGAGGGGGGUAGAAUUCCACGUGUAGCAGUGAAAUGCGUAGAGAUGUGGAGGAAUACCGAUGGCGAAGGCAGCCCCCUGGGCCAAUACUGACGCUCAUGCACGAAAGCGUGGGGAG
rnacentral:rRNA from 1 species